UUUAAAGAAUAGAACAAUCGAGCAUUUUCUUGCAAAAAUCUUAUGACAAACUCAUGAACUUUUCUAAACUUUGCUCAGUUUGAAAUGCAGUAAGAAGCACGAGAUAUGGCGUGAUCUUUUUUAUUAUAUAAUCAUCUUUCCUUAACCUCAGGUGAGUAGGUAUUGACUGUAAAGUACUUUAUAAAAGGUUUAUAUAUAGGCUGCACUCACUCGGAUCAUGCUCAGAUUUUGCGUCAAUGUAAAUAUGAUGUAAUACAACCAGAUUGUCAUACCAUCUGCAUCGAAAAAUUGUGCAUAUGUUAUUUUAACCUCAAACACACAUGAACUAAGUGUUCACAAAAAAUUAUUAGAGACAAAAUGAGAUACAGUAAUUUGAGUAAUAACAUGAUGAUAAGUUCUUUGUAUGUUUGCAUGGCGAUAAAAUAUAAUAGUCUUGUUUGUGGAAACACCACGUAAAUUUAUUACUUAUUAUUAGCACUGAUGAAGAUCCAGGCUUGCGGAUCGAAAUCUUUGCAGUAAUAAAUUUACGUGGUGUUUCCACAAACAAAACUAUUAACAUGAUGAUAAUUAGCAAACUGUGAACGAUUACAAUUCAAAUACAAAUAUACAAUAGUCAAGCAAGACUUUGCAGUAGUCUAGCAAGUUGAUGGGCGGACGGCACACAUGACCAACACAACUCGGCAGAGCUGGCAGAGCACCUCCCUACCAGAUCAUGCUGGAUCCAUCCCUGUCAUAUGUUCUGCACUGCAUCGCCGUGCUUUAAUAACAUCACAGAAUAACUACUAAUUUAUACACAAGUUUUUAAUGCAUGUUAGGAUCUUCAGGUAGUCUAUAUUGACAACAUAAUAUUUUUGUUUCUAUCAAUCAGACCAGAUGUCAUAGUAAUCAAACUUUUAAACUUGUGUCUAAAAUUAAAAGAAAAGAACCAGACGAGAAAAUCACACACAUUUCCACUUCUGUUGUGCUGGCAAUAUGAUCAAAUUUGACCUGUUGUGUUGAUUGUAGGAGAAAAAUUGCACAUGAUAACCCUGGGCCUUGCAAAUCACUACAGCUGCAAUACAGCUGCAUGAUGGUAUACAUCAUACAGAUCCGGACAAGACCAUGAUGUUUAUAUUCAUUUGAACACUUUGCAGCAGCCGUGGUUGGCUUUUGCUACAUUAACCAUUUCAGCUUCAUUAUUUCUAGGACAACAUGUCAUCACCAGAUAAGGGUUAUGACAUCACAUACAAAGUUCUGGUUGUCGGGGAAAUGAGCGUUGGAAAAACAUCGUUAAUUCGAAGAUAUUCCCGUCCUGAAGAAAAAAUGGCAAUGUCUUACCUCACCACUGUUGGUAAUUAUUUAUAAAAAACAGAGUUGUAGACUUGAGUCGAUUAUGUGACUUGGACUUGAGUUGCAAUUUUUGUGAUUGGACUUGGGGAUGCUUCACAUAUCGAUUUUUUCCAUGAGAAACGUCAUAUGUUUGUUUGGG